rnacentral:rRNA from 1 species
ACGAACGCUGGCGGCGUGCUUAACACAUGCAAGUCGAACGCGAAAGUUUUCUUCGGAAAGCGAGUAGAGUGGCGCACGGGUGAGUAACGCGUAAGUAAUCUACCCUGGUAUCUGGGAUAACCAACCGAAAGGUUGGCUAAUACCGGAUACGCUGGUAACAGGAAAGGUGGCCUCUUCAUGAAAGCUACUGUACCAGGAGGAGCUUGCGUACCAUUAGCUAGUUGGUAGGGUAAUGGCCUACCAAGGCGACGAUGGUUAGCGGGUCUGAGAGGAUGAUCCGCCACACUGGAACUGGAACACGGACCAGACUCCUACGGGAGGCAGCAGUGAGGAAUAUUGCGCAAUGGGGGAAACCCUGACGCAGCGACGCCGCGUGGAUGAUGAAGGCCUUCGGGUCGUAAAAUCCUGUCAGAUGGAAAGAAGUGUAUAGAUGUUAAUAGCAUUUAUAUUUGACGGUACCAUCAAAGGAAGCACCGGCUAACUCCGUG